rnacentral:rRNA from 1 species
CCCUUAGAGUUUGAUCCUGGCUCAGGACGAACGCUGGCGGCGUGCCUAACACAUGCAAGUCGAACGAGUCCACCCUUUCGGGGGUGAGGCGAGUGGCGGACGGGUGAGUAACACGUGAGCAAUUUGUCUCUGUGUGGGGGACAACCCGGGGAAACCCGGGCUAAUACCGCAUGGGCAGGCACCUCGAGUGGGGCGCCUGGGAAAGACGGCCUCUUUACAAUGCUGUCAUGCAGAGAGAAGCUCGCGGGCUAUCAGCUAGUUGGUGCGGUAACGGCGCACCAAGGCUUCGACGGCUACGGGGUCUGAGAGGACGACCCCGCACAUUGGAACUGAGACACGGUCCAGACUCCUACGGGAGGCAGCAGUGGGGAAUUUUGGGCAAUGGCCGCAAGGCUGACCCAGCGACGCCGCGUGUGGGAUGACGCCUCUCGGGGUGUAAACCACUGUCAGAGGGGAAGAAUGACUCACGUGUGAAUAAUGCGUGGGUGUGACGGUACCCUCAAAGGAAGCACCGGCUAACUCCGUGCCAGCAGCCGCGGUAAUACGGAGGGUGCGAGCGUUGUUCGGAUUUACUGGGCGCAAAGCGCGCGCACGUGGGUGGACAAGUCGGAAGUGAAAUCCCAGGGCUCAACCCUGGGGCUGCUCCCGAAACUGUUCGUCUAGGGACUGGUAGAGGCUGGUAGAAUUCCCGGUGU